UUUGUUUUCUUUACCCUCUGUUUCGCGACUUUCUCUGGUUUGGGUUCUAUUGUGUGCUCUUCUUCAUGGAGAACGAAUUGGUCGGACUAUCCUUUGAUGACGGUGAAGAGGAAGUAUGGCAAGUUCCUUUGGAGAGUAGGCGUUAGUCUCAUCCUAGGAGUUGUCUUGUGAGGAGUUUCCUCAUAACCAACGUUGUGAGCUUUCAGUCGAUGCAAAAUACGCUAACAAAUCUAUGAUACCCAAUAGGUGGUGUUACUA
rnacentral:lncRNA from 1 species